rnacentral:rRNA from 1 species
UACGGAGGGUGCAAGCGUUAUCCGGAUUCACUGGGUUUAAAGGGUGCGUAGGAGGGCAGGGAAGUCCGUGGUGAAAUCCUAGAGCUUAACUCUAGAACUGCCGUGGAUACUCUCUGUCUUGAAUCCCGUGGAGGUGAGCGGAAUAUGUCAUGUAGCGGUGAAAUGCUUAGAUAUGACAUAGAACACCAAUUGCGAAGGCAGCUCACUACACGAAGAUUGACUCUGAGGCACGAAAGCGUGGGGAUCAAACAGG